GUAACAACCACCCAUCUAACUCCCGGAUGCAUUUUGGGCUGGAUACACUGGAUCUAGUUCAGCAUGACUGACCCUGAGGAAUAUCCUUGGACCAUGACUGACUGCUUGGCUGGCUGAGAGGGUGAAUAACUAUAUUGAAAAAAAGGGUAUUCAGAGAGAAUUGCUAAAUUUAGAGAUUAUUCUGAGAACGUGAGAGUGGAUGUGAUUGGAAAAGCCAUCUUUCUCCAGGGAAAAGCUUCACGAUGAGUUGUAAGGAAUAAAACAGAGACAGUUGCUGAAUGGAGAAGAUACUUGAAGGAAAAUACACACACACGCACACACACACACACACACAAAUACAUACUCCUGAAAAGACUACAUCUGGAUGGAAAGGAUUUUUAUUUCUUUCCCUGACUGGGCAACCAAAUACAUUGACAUA